rnacentral:rRNA from 1 species
GAUGAACGCUAGCGGCAGGCUUAACACAUGCAAGUCGAGGGGUAUAGUAGCAAUACUAGAGACCGGCGCACGGGUGCGUAACGCGUAUGCAACCUACCUUUUACAGAGGGAUAGCCCCAGAGAAAUUUGGAUUAAUACCUCAUAGUGUUAUUAGAUGGCAUCAUUUGAUAACUAAAGUUCCAACGGUAAAAGAUGGGCAUGCGUCCUAUUAGCUAGAUGGUAAGGUAACGGCUUACCAUGGCUACGAUAGGUAGGGGUCCUGAGAGGGAGACUCCCCACACUGGUACUGAGACACGGACCAGACUCCUACGGGAGGCAGCAGUGAGGAAUAUUGGACAAUGGGCGCAAGCCUGAUCCAGCCAUGCCGCGUGCAAGGGAAGAACGUCAUCUAUGG